rnacentral:Y_RNA from 1 species
GGCUGGUCAGAAGGUAGUGAGUUAUCUCAGUUGACUGUUCACAGUCAGUCAUAGAUAGAACUUCCUGGUCCUACUAUUUCUCCCUUUCUCACGAUUGCAUUUGACUUGUCUAAA